ACUUAUAGCAAAAUACACACUGGACCCACUCUUCCCCAGGCAUCGAGGCGCUGAAGAGCUCGCAGCACACGAGGCAGCUGACGUCCUCGCUGGAUAGGCCUAAAUAAAUUGGAGAUGUAGAGGCAGCAAUGGUGGUGAACUCUGCUGCCUCCGGAACAGGACACACUAGGCCUAAGGUGGGGCUGACUCCAUCAGCGGGCCAGGUGAUGGUGGGAGGAGCAGCUGAGGUGGCACCAGGGGUGACUCCAGCAAGGGGGGCGGCUUCAGGAGCGGGCGAGAAGAGCCUCUUCUUGGGAGCCCGAGAGGAGGGAGGCUGCUUGGCGGGACGACGCUGCUUCACAGUUCCCUGUUUUUCCGCCUCUAAAGCAGCCCUCACCGGGGUGUCCGUAAGUAUAGCAGUUGUCCUGAAACAUUAAAUUGGACGUUUUAAUGAUAAUUGAAUUACUUUAAAUGUGGUAGGUCUACAUGACUGUAGACAAAGGAAGUCCAGACAAGAUAUGAGAUGCAAGAGUAACUCCACUUGCCUCUUUCUCCCUCUUCUCUUUGUGAUCUUUCUAGGUCCGGCCUUAGGGUAAGGCCGGAUGAUGUCCGGGCUGAAUUCAACGGCCUCUCCCUCAGGCCGGACAGCUUCGUCAGGCCCGGCAGCUCGAUCAGUGGCACCUGGAGAAGCGCUGACCUCGUCACCCGAAGCCUGGGGAGGAGGACGGUCUGUCGAAUAGGCUCCGGCGAAGUCCUUUUCCUCAAAUGCAGAGGGGUUAAAAGGCCAGAUCCCUGGACUUGAGAACCCGGAGGUGGGACGUGUGAUUGUCCAGCAGGAGGAGCAGCUUCGACUCCUUGGACACACGGGUGUAACUGGUGAAGUGGGCCAGGUACAGGAGGAAGUCUGGCUCCUUCAUCCAGCCAGUUGGGUUGCCGCUGCCAGCACAGCCAACGGGUCCACCCCUCAGGAAGUGGUCUUUGAACCGCUUACGGGGGAAGAUGAAAAAUGGCGGAACAAGGUCGCCCUGAGCAUUGCCUGCCAGGGCAACUGUGACCAGGGUCCCCCUCUCCGCUGAGGUCACUGACCCGACCUGCUUCUGCCCCAUCUGGGCGACGACACGGUCUGGCACCUGAACAGUGGUGACCCCUG